GCCCAGGUGACGUAACGGUAGCCGUGCAAGUCUGAGGGGCUUGUGUCCGUAAGGGCGUGGGGGUUCGAUUCCCCCCCUGGGCA
rnacentral:tRNA from 1 species